rnacentral:rRNA from 1 species
GAUGAACGCUGGCGGCGUGCCUAAUACAUGCAAGUCGAGCGAACAGGCGAGGCGCUUGCGCCUCGGACGAUAGCGGAGGAGGGGAGUGAAACGCGUGGAUAACCUCCCUGUCAGACGGGGAUCACUUCGGGAAUCCGGCGCUUAUCCCGGAGAAGAUAUUGAACCGCGGGGGUCAAUGGAGAGAGACGGUGGUGCGGGCUGUACUAGCGGCUUACGAGCCGUAUGAGCUGGUUGGGAAGGUACAGGGCUACCAAGGGAACGAUGCGUAACCGACCUGAGGGGGUGGUCGGCCACACUGGAAGUUAGCCACGGUCCAGACUCCUACGGUAGGCCGCAGUAUGGAAUCUUCCGCAAUGGGCGAGAGCCUGACGGAGCGACCCCGCGUCAGUGAUGAAGGUCUUCGGAUCGUAAAACUCUGUUACUAGUGGAGAACAAAUGUGUCAUUAGCUAUGCCGGUCGUGACGGUACCUAAUCAGAAAGCCCCGGCUAACUACGUG